GACGAACGCUGGCGGCGUGCCUAAUACAUGCAAGUUGAGCGCUGAAGGUUGGUACUUGUACCGACUGGAUGAGCAGCGAACGGGUGAGUAACGCGUGGGGAAUCUGCCUUUGAGCGGGGGACAACAUUUGGAAACGAAUGCUAAUACCGCAUAAAAACUUUAAACACAAGUUUUAAGUUUGAAAGAUGCAAUUGCAUCACUCAAAGAUGAUCCCGCGUUGUAUUAGCUAGUUGGUGAGGUAAAGGCUCACCAAGGCGAUGAUACAUAGCCGACCUGAGAGGGUGAUCGGCCACAUUGGGACUGAGACACGGCCCAAACUCCUACGGGAGGCAGCAGUAGGGAAUCUUCGGAAAUGGACGAAAGUCUGACCGAGCAACGCCGCGGGAGUGAAGAAGGGUUUCGGAUCGUAAAACUCUGUUGGUAGAGAAGAACGUUGGUGAGAGUGGAAAGCUCAUCAAGUGACGGUAACUACCCAGAAAGGGACGGCUAACUACGUG
rnacentral:rRNA from 1 species